rnacentral:tRNA from 1 species
GGUGAGGUGGCCGAGUGGUCGAAGGCGCACGCUUGGAAAGCGUGUAGGCGGGAAACUGUCUCGUGGGUUCGAAUCCCACCCUCACCGCCA